rnacentral:rRNA from 1 species
UACGUAGGGUGCGAGCGUUGUCCGGAAUUACUGGGCGUAAAGGGCUCGUAGGCGGCCAACUAAGUCAGACGUGAAGUCCCUCGGCUUAACCGGGGAACUGCGUCUGAUACUGGAUGGCUAGAGGUUGGGAGAGGGAUGCGGAAUUCCAGGUGUAGCGGUGAAAUGCGUAGAUAUCUGGAGGAACACCGGUGGCGAAGGCGGCAUCCUGGACCAAUUCUGACGCUGAGGAGCGAAAGCCAGGGGAGCAAACGGG